rnacentral:rRNA from 1 species
CCUACGGGUGGCAGCAGUGAGGAAUAUUGGUCAAUGGGCGGAAGCCUGAACCAGCCAAGCCGCGUGAAGGAAGAAGGCGCCAGGGGUCGUAAACUUCUUUUGUCGGGGAACAAAGGGCGCCACGCGUGGCGUUUUGAGUGUACCUGAAGAAAAAGCAUCGGCUAACUCCGUGCCAGCAGCCGCGGUAAUACGGAGGAUGCGAGCGUUAUCGGGCUUUAUUGGGGUUAAAGGGUGCGUAGGCGGCCGGGAAAGUCAGCGGUAAAAGCCCGGGGCUCAACCCCGGCGAGCCGUUGAAACUGUCGGACUAGAGACGGCGAGAAGUACGCGGAAUGCGUGGUGUAGCGGUGAAAUGCAUAGAUAUCGCGCAGAACUCCGAUGGCGAAGGCAGCGUACUGGCGCCGAACUGACGCUGAGGCACGAAAGCGUGGGUAUCGAACAGGAUUAGAUACCCUAGUAGUC